rnacentral:rRNA from 1 species
AGUGAACGCUGGCGGUAGGCCUAACACAUGCAAGUCGAACGGCAGCACAGUAAGAGCUUGCUCUUACGGGUGGCGAGUGGCGGACGGGUGAGGAAUACAUCGGAAUCUACUUUUUCGUGGGGGAUAACGUAGGGAAACUUACGCUAAUACCGCAUACGACCUACGGGUGAAAGCAGGGGAUCUUCGGACCUUGCGCGAUUGAGUGAGCCGAUGUCGGAUUAGCUAGUUGGCGGGGUAAAGGCCCACCGAGGCGACGAUCCGUAGCUGGUCUGAGAGGAUGAUCAGCCACACUGGAACUGAGACACGGUCCAGACUCCUACGGGAGGCAGCAGUGGGGAAUAUUGGACAAUGGGCGCAAGCCUGAUCCAGCCAUACCGCGUGGGUGAAGAAGGCCUUCGGGUUGUAAAGCCCUUUUGUUGGGAAAGAAAGGCAGCAGGUUAAUACCCCGCUGUUCUGACGGUACCCAAAGAAUAAGCACCGGCUAACUUCGUG